UACAGAGGGUGCGAGCGUUGUCCGGAAUCACUGGGCGUAAAGGGCGCGUAGGUGGUUUGGUAAGUGUGUGGUGAAAGCCCGGGGCUCAACCCCGGGUCUGCCGCGCAAACUGCCGAACUUGAGCAUACUAGAGGCAGGUAGAAUUCCGGGUGUAGCGGUGGAAUGCGUAGAGAUCCGGAAGAAGACCGGUGGCGAAGGCGGCCUGCUGGGGUAGAGCUGACACUGAGGCGCGACAGCGUGGGGAGCAAACAGG
rnacentral:rRNA from 1 species